CAGAAAAAAAAUGCACUAAGAAAGUCAUCAGAGAAUGUCUGACUAUAUUGCUCAAUCAGUCAUCACCAACAACAACAGAAGAAAAAAGAGGAGGAGGAGCAAGAAAUGAAAUUUCACUUUGGGGAGCUUUUUCUUCCACUGAGUAAGUGCUUCCUUUUAUCGAGGAACUGGCCUGGCUCAUGGCAAAGGUUUACCUUCUGGGACCUUCUAAUUUUGGCUCAUUUUUACAAAUUCACCUACCAUUUCUUUCUCCCCAACAACUGCAAUUCUACUUCUCCUCCUCUGUCCUGGGAACCAAAAGUUACAGCUCCAUGUUUUUACAUUGCUCGAGAAAAUCAAUAUAAAGGAGAAGAGGGCAGAGCAAGGGCAUCCAUGUUGCUAGCCUUCACUGAAGUGUACUGAUGGAUGAGGACCACAACUCCUAGACUAACUACAGACUACAGGUUUUCAAGUUUAGAGUGAUAGGAAGUUCUAAUUUCAUAUUAAACAAUUUACCAUUGCAGAUAUUUUGGGAUUGCUUUCCCUUUAUCAUUCAGAGAGAGAUGAGAUAACAAAAGCAAUAAAGAGUUUGUCACCAUAUAAUUUGAGAAUGCUUCCACCAGUCCUGAACAGAGCCACACCUGAAAACCAUGAACCCAUCAUUUGUCUAUAUAAUUUUUUGCAUGUAUUUCAUUCUUACCAAUUCCAUUAAUCAUAGCUGUUUUGUAAAUGUAGGAUAGUUUGUAAAGACAGGAUGGACUCAGAAUUUAGAUCAUUAAUGCCCUUCGUCAACUUGGUCAUGGAAAUCCAUGAACGUCGAUAUUCCAGAAGACCAAGGCUGUUCAAAAGAACCCUCUGUUACGAGAGAAAAUAUUUCAUAAUUGAGUAUAAUAUGGCUAUUGAGAACUUUAAAUGUGGUUGGUACAACUAAAGAAUAAGAGUGGUUUUUAUUUUAAACAUUUUCAUUUAAGUAGCCACACAUGAAGGAUGGCUAUCAUGUUAAGUAGACAUAUAAAUGAGCCCAUCCUAGUCCACCCACAAACUGGUCUGGCCAACCUGAUGGCCUUACUCAUCUCAUGGUUUUCUUAGCAACCAUAGUACCAUUUGUCAGUGGUUCCUGG
rnacentral:lncRNA from 1 species